GCGAAAUGACUGUUCUUAAAUUACUGCGCCUCACAAGGACCCAACACAAGCUGGGGUUUAAUGUAAAAAAUCAUUAGGCGCAGAUUACUAAAGUGCUCCUGCAUUAAGGAGGUCAAACCGAGCCUGUUUAUGGUAUUUUUCAGGACAGAAACUCUUUGCUAAUAUCUUGAUCAUGACUGUGUUCUGGGGGGGCCCGUCUUAGCACCCACAGCUCAGCACUGUGGCUUCCAAGGAGAUGCUGUGAAGCGGGGGCUGGGAGGCGAGACCACUAAAACACGGGCUGGACAUGGGUCAGGAGAGUCUCCACAAUCGCAAACCAUUUUCAAGAAAGUUGGGUGCAUCAAAUAAUGUAAGCUCUGAGCUAUGAAACUAUGCUAAUUUCAAGAUCUU
rnacentral:lncRNA from 1 species